CCUACGGGCGGCAGCAGUGGGGAAUAUUGGACAAUGGGCGAAAGCCUGAUCCAGCCAUGCCGCGUGUGUGAAGAAGGCCUUCGGGUUGUAAAGCACUUUCAGUGGGGAAGAAAGCCUUGGGGCUAAUACCCUCGAGGAAGGACAUCACCCACAGAAGAAGCACCGGCUAACUCCGUGCCAGCAGCCGCGGUAAUACGGAGGGUGCGAGCGUUAAUCGGAAUUACUGGGCGUAAAGCGCGCGUAGGCGGUCUGAUAAGCCGGUUGUGAAAGCCCCGGGCUCAACCUGGGAACGGCAUCCGGAACUGUCAGGCUAGAGUGCAGGAGAGGAAGGUGGAAUUCCCGGUGUAGCGGUGAAAUGCGUAGAGAUCGGGAGGAAUACCAGUGGCGAAGGCGGCCUUCUGGACUGACACUGACGCUGAGGUGCGAAAGCGUGGGUAGCAAACAGGAUUAGAUACCCAGUAGUC
rnacentral:rRNA from 1 species